rnacentral:tRNA from 1 species
CGCGGGUGUAGUUCAAUGGUAGAACGAAAGCUUCCCAAGCUUUCGAACGUGUCAAUGCCUAAUGGCUUGACUCCUCGUCCA